rnacentral:rRNA from 1 species
UACAGAGGUCCCAAGCGUUGUUCGGAUUCACUGGGCGUAAAGGGUGCGUAGGCGGCUUAAUAAGUCAUUGGUGAAAGCUCGCAGCUCAACUGCGAAACUGCCAUUGAAACUGUUUAGCUUGAAUGUGGUUGAAGUGGGCGGAAUACAACAUGUAGCGGUGAAAUGCUUAGAUAUGUUUUAGAACACCGAUUGCGAAGGCAGCUCACUAAGCCAAUAUUGACGCUGAGGCACGAAAGCGUGGGUAGCAAACAGG